rnacentral:lncRNA from 1 species
GCCACCGACGAGUUUCAACAUGGGGAAUCAAGUUCUCUGGGCUUGCAGAGAGGAGAUGGGCGGGUUGGGCUUUGUAUGGCGAUGUGAAAACCAGAUGGGUCUGGGAGAGACAGCGAAAGGAGCGAACCGUUUCAGGAGGAAUACGGGAGGAAGACAAUUAUUUGCAGAGGUGUCAGGGGAUUUGAUGCAGAUGAUCAUCAUGGCUUGGAGAAACAAUGAAGGAAGCAAAGUAUGCCAUCUAUGCUGCGGGAGGUAACUCCAGAAGACCCCAGAGAGAACGAGUUUGGACUUUUAACUGAGGGCCAUUGGAAACUACUGAAGAGUUUUAGGCAGCAUAAGAACUACUAGAUUUUCAUUGUGGGAGGAUCCUCAGCAGCAGCCUCAGAAAGGAGAUUGGGGAAGGAGAUCCCUAGUCAGGGAGACCAAGAAGACUACUGGAAAAAAACAGGGGAAUCCUCAAGGACCUGCAAACAAGAAACCAAAUCCCCCCACUCCCCCCAGCCAAAAUGUGUUCAUUUUGACCAGCUGUGUGUGUGUUUUAAAUUAAAAGUUUGAAUUAGAAAGCAAGUAGGAUAAAUUUAUAUACUUAGAUGUAUAAAUUUAAAUACCUGGCCCCUGAAGCACUUCUGAUAGGUCUCAGCUACCCAAACAAGAAGAACGGAAUCUUUGAAUCCCCAGGACUCAACGCAGUACUGGACACAAAAUGGGAGCUGAAAAAGUGUGUGUGGAGUCAGUGAAGGAUGCAAUUUCCCCUCAUUGUAGAGAUGAAGAAGCUGAGGCUGCAGAGUAGAAUAGGAGCAGACAGUGGGGAUUGUCUUCAAAGUAGGUUCCUAGUUCCUGGCUCAGAGGUCCCAGUUUUUGUUGACCAUGGACAGUAAAACUCCCUGGGGAAGCGGGCCCAGUCUCAGGAGAGCAGUUUUGAUUGGUCUAAGUUUGUGAUUGACUUAGGAACUGUCUGGCCAAUGAAAUAUGAGGGAAAGCCUGGGGGAUUCUGGGAAAGGUUUUGUAAACCAAAAAGUAUUUGAGACAUGUCUCAAUUUUAGAGGAUUAUUUUGCCAAGGUUAAGGACCAUUGCCCAUACAGCCUCAGGAGGCCCUGAGAACAUAUACCCAAGGUGGUUGGGGUACAGCUUCAUUUUAUACAUUUUAGGGAGUCAGAAGUUACAGGCAAAGACAUAAAUCAAUACAUGCAAGGUAUACAUUGGUUUGGCCCAGAGAGGUGGAACAUCUAGAAGCAGGAGCUUCCAGGUCAUAAGUGGAUUCAAAGAUUUCCUGAUUGGCAGUUUGUUGACAGAGUUAAGCUCCGCCCCAAGAGUUGAUGUCAGCUUAAAUUAAGGUAAGGGGGUGCUUUGUGGAAACCAACGUUCUUAUCAUGUAUAUGAAGCCUCCAGGCUUCAGCGAGAAUAGAUGUGAAUGUCUUUUAUUGGACCUUAAAAAUUGUCAGACUUUCUGGAAAAGACCUAAUAAGGGAAUCUUUACAGAACAUAAUUUUUUCACCCACAAGUGACAGCUUGGCAGGGCCGUUUCAAAAUAUGUAAAGAAAUAUAAUUUGAGGUAAAAUAAUUUGAUUUCCUUCAGGGCCCACUGGCUGUCACGUGAUGUUAUACCAGAGUCAGAUUGGAAUCUGUUGUCUUACUGCUACCAAGAUUUUGUCUUGACAGUCUUAAGAUUCCUGUUUUAAUGUCAGUUCUGGUCAGUUGUGUCUAAACUCAAAAGGAAGGAGGGUAUAAUGAGGCAUGUUUCACCCCCUCUUUCCCAUCAUGGCCUGAACUAGUUUUUCAGGUGUUUUUUUGAAUCCCUUUGGCCAAGGGGGAUCCAUUCAGUCAGCUGAGGGGCUUAGAAUUUUAUUUUUGGUUUAUAGUUUCCUCUUGAUUAAAGAAGGAAGUCUGCAAUGUGGGUUUGUAACCUAGUUUUUAAUAACUUUACAUCAGACUUGUAAUUUAUUGUUACUUUCUGAAGACACACUGAUAAAACCUCUCUACCAUGACGUCAUUGCAUGUUUUCACGGUAGAAAUUCUAAUUAUUUGCUAAAGUGAAAAUAAAGUCAAACAUGCCUAAGUCUUUAUCUGCUUAACCACAUUAGCUAUGGUGUGAUCAUGGAAAAAGGGCACACAUCAAGACAUAGUUUUAAAAGAAUUAUUAGAAUGUUGACUACCAGAAUAAUAUUGACCCAGGAUGAACUUCUUUUUUUAUUUUUUCAUUUCUGCUUUUUUGUUAUUGGUGUUUAUAACUUCCUCAGAGAUUCACCAUGGGGUUACCUCAUACAAGAGACUACCUUCAGGUACAGAUUUUCAUCACCAUACUUUCUGUAGGUGCCCCUGGCAGUCAGAGGUUACCACAAACAAAAAGUACUUUGGUGAGUAGUGUUAUAGUGAGAUUCUGAUAACUCAUUCAUCAGAGCCUCUCACUUAAGUACGAAGAUAAGUACCAGAGUUACAAUCUUGAGCAAAAGCAAAGUCCCUGUCUUCAUCUGUGUUACAGAAAAGACAGGCCUUAAGCACACACUCACCAAAAAAGCAAAGACAUUAGUGCAUACUUCAAAAUGCAUAAAAUAUAAGACCCCCUAGUGCCAUGAGAGUACAUACCAGGCUGACCUGGCCUAAAUAUAAGUUUCAUCAGAGGAAGUGGUAUUUAAACUGAGUUCUGAAUAUUGAAUAGAAGUUAAUUAAGGUUGGAGUAGAUGUAGAAGAGGUAUUCACAGUGUAUCUCAUAUCAUAAAUAUGGUAGGUAAUUCAUAAAUACUUGUUGAUUGAAAGAAUGAAUUGAACCUAUCCCCCCAGUAGGGCAAAUCAAGUGUAAGGAAAAUUAUUCACUGGAACAAACCAUUGGAGAAAGUUUAGGCCAGUUUGUCUAAUCAUCAGUCUUUCACAAUAAUUUGUUACAGACCAGAGGCUCCCCAUGUAAUAAAAAUUAACAUGGAGCCAAGCAGAUUCCUCAGACAAGGCUUUUAUCUGGUGUUUGUGCUUGAGUGCAAGGGAGACAGCAGAGGCACAAGGACCUUCUGGUGACUCUCUGAAAAAGAGCUGGUAGGGAUUUUUUAUGAGACAAAGUGCUGGAAUUGACAAUAGGGGUAAGAUAUGCAGGCUGGGCUGGACAAAGCAUGUGAGGGGUAGGGUAUGUAGCAUAGCGCGUUGCUAUGUUUUUCUUGAGUAAUGGGCCAACUGGUUAUCUGGGAGCAGCAAAGAGGGUUUAAAUCAGAUUUUCGGCAUUCCUUCCCAGGUAGGACACUCUGCAACCUUGGUUUGAUUUUGGAUCCCCCAAAGCCAGUUUCUGAAAUUCUGUAAGUAAAAGACAUGGUUAAACAUUAUGAGAGCAAAGAAGAAUGGCUGUGUUCUUUGUGUGACUAAAGCCUUGGAGUUAGCAGGUAUAGCAUCAGUGAGGUAGUGGUGUGGGUUUUGUGGUCAGUGGGAAUGUAUGAAAGAAUGCUCUACUGGGGGCAAGCUGAAGCCAAGCCCAGUUCUUGCGCUUUCUCAAAUUGACCACAUGAGAGUAAUCCCUUUCUCUUUACGAUUCUUUCUCUCUCGUGAUGGAGUACUUUCUUCAAACACAUACCCAAGAUACUCUUGUUGUCUAUUUUUUUUUUUCGUUUUAUUUUGGUCAACAAAGAGGGGAAAAUAUAGCAUCAGCAGCUGCCACUACCAGUAAUAACUGUGUGUGCAGGAGUGAAACGCACCCCACGUGAAUAAACUUCCUGUUAGGCACUAAUAUUUUUUGAGCACCUACUAAUUAUGAUAUGGAGGGGGAUGGUGCAUGGCUGCCUAGAAAUUUGAUAGGCUGUAAUCAGAAUGACCCCAAGUAUUGGACAUAAUUUCAAGAAUGGAGCUGAGUUUAGCAAAAUUAUAACAGUCAUAUUAUCUAACAUGUAUUAAAUCCUCAUGUGCCAUAUACUGUCCUAAGCACACUAUAAAUAUCAUUUUUUUAAAAUAAGUAUCACAAUAGCCAUGUGAAUUGGGUACUAUUAUUAUCCUCAUAUUCCAGAUUAGGGAACUGGAGCUUAUAGAGGCUCAUUAGCUUAUCCAAGUUCACACAGUGGAUAAUAGUGUCACUGACAUUUGAACACAGGUCUGGAUGGCUCCAGAACUUACUGUGGUAUAAAACAAAAUAUAUUUGGUCUUUGUCCCAAUUCCUGUCAGAGAUCCUGAAACACUCAAAAUUUCCCGGAGUGUGGGGAAAAAAAGGAGUGUUUUGUUAUUCAUAAUGGCCUCUUUUUAUCAUACCUGACUUUAUGCUAAUAAGUUGACUUGUGGUGGGCCCCCUGUGAUAGACUCAGGAUAGGGCCAGACAUCAGAAAAAUCAAGUGAUUAGGGAAUUAGAGGGUUGGAAAUUUCAGCCUCACCCACCAACCUCCAGGAAAGGGGUGGGGGCUAGAGAUUAAGCUCUCUAGAACUCUUGAAUAAUGCAAUUUAAUGAACUCCCAGGUUGCUGAACACAUAAAGGUGCUGGGAGGGUAGUCGCCCAUCCAUGCCUUGCUCUAUGUAUGUAUUAGUUCAUUCUUGCAUUGCUAUAAGGAAACACUUGAGACUGGGUAAUUUAU